AUUGAACGCUGGCGGCAUGCCUUACACAUGCAAGUCGAACGGUAACGCGGGGCAACCUGGCGACGAGUGGCGAACGGGUGAGUAAUGUAUCGGAACGUGCCCAACAGUGGGGGAUAGCCCGGCGAAAGCCGGAUUAAUACCGCAUACGACCUACGGGUGAAAGCGGGGGAUCGCAAGACCUCGCGCUGAUGGAGCGGCCGAUAUCAGAUUAGGUUGUUGGUGGGGUAAAAGCCCACCAAGCCGACGAUCUGUAGCUGGUCUGAGAGGACGACCAGCCACACUGGGACUGUGACACGGCCCAGACUCCUACGGGAGGCAGCAGUGGGGAAUUUUGGACAAUGGGGGCAACCCUGAUCCAGCCAUGCCGCGUGCGGGAAGAAGGCCUUCGGGUUGUAAACCGCUUUUGUCAGGGAAGAAAUCCUUUGGGCUAACACCCCGAGGGGAUGACGGUACCUGAAGAAUAAGCACCGGCUAACUACGUGCCAGCAGCCGCGGUAACAC
rnacentral:rRNA from 1 species